rnacentral:lncRNA from 1 species
GCCAGGGUAGUCCUUGUGAGGAGUCACAGGACUAUUUGAGUUGAGCACGAUUCGGAUGAUCUGAUCAGGGUUGACAGUUUAACCCUAAGUCGUCCUAAAUACAGGGUUCAAAAGGAUGAAGUAUACAGUAACCAUAUUCAUGUAGGUUCUGAGUGUUGCGAUUGCGACUCUUCGAUCUAUCCAAACAUCGGGUACCAUUGCUAGAUGGUCACUUUGAUUAGUACAGGAAUUGGUUCCUGUGCUACCGGCUUAGGAUCGAACCUGUGGGGUCACACACAUUAGAGAUUCCUAUUUGAUCUGAUGGCUGAUAUAGAAUCCUACAUAUUUG